CCCGGGCCCGGGCCGCUGCAGCCCAAGGUCACCGCCAAGCCCGCCCUGGGUGUCCACCAGCAGCCGGGGGCGUGCAGAGCGCUGGCCAUCGGGACACCCACACCCACGCGCACCACGUGGCCGCCUGCGCUCCAGGGGACGCGGCUUGGAGGGUCAGUCCGCCCUUGGCAGCUCUGACAUCUUCUCCCAGUGUGGUGGUACUGCCUACCUGUCAUCCCAACACUGGAGGCAGAAGCAAGAGGGCCAGGGUUCGAGGUCAGCCUCAGCUACACAAUUUCUGGAAAAUGGAAGACCCAGCCUCAAGUGAACAGAGGGAAGAAAAGAGGAAAAGAUGAAAUAAGACAAACAGAAUAUUGUUCUUCUGGUUUGGGCCAGUGGGAAGGCCCAGAAGGUGAAGGUGUUUGCUGUGAAGCCUGAGGCCUGGGUUGGUUCCCCGGGACCCGAGUGGCAGACGGAGGAACUGACUCCAACAAAUUGUCCUCCGACCUCCACACAGAAACCGAUAAAUAA